ensembl:lncRNA
GAGCGCAGGCCGCGCCGGCCUCGGGAGGGGAGGGGAGCUCUCAGGAGGGACAGAGGGUCCCACAGGAGCUUGAGAGGCCGCGGAAGACCUCGACCCUUUCUGGCACUUCGGCGACCGCAGCUCCAGGGCCGGACGGUGCUCUGCAGAAAGGCCUGCAGCGGACAGCGGCUCUUCCGGCUGUGGGCGACCCCCUCGGAUCGCGCCCAGGGUCGCGCAGGGUCUGGCUGGGGAGCUGGCCGGGGAGCUGGGUGCACGGGGCAGGCAGGCUUGGGGCGGGGCAGAGAGAAUGCGGGCAGUAAGCCAGGUUUCCAGUUGUUUGAUUUCUUUCCUUUCUUUCGUUUGGACCGCGCCUGGGCCUGGGCGGUCAGGAACCCACCUGCUGGGGCGGCCCGGCCCAGAGCGCGGGAGCCGCCUUCGCCCCGGAACCAGGCUGGCUCGCUCGCGCUCGCUCCGCUCCUUCAUUCCUUCAUCUCUUGCACGCUCGCGUGUAUUCACGUGGGCAACUGUGUGCGAGUGAGCACACCCUCCUGCGAGCGGCGUCAGGGGACCUCGCUCAGGACACUGCCAGCAUCAGUCGUUCAGAGCCCCGCGGGCCCUAGGCGCCCGAGGCAUUUCGUCGCCUGCUUUGCCGCCGCUGGGGAACCAUGGCCGGUUGUGGGUUCAGUAGAGACUGGACCCGGGGUCGAGGAUCGGGUAGUGAAUCGUCAAGCGCGGCCCCUGGGCCACCGAACGCCAGGACUGCAUCGCCCAGUCCUGGCUGGGCUCCGCGGGCACCAGAGAGCGGGGUGGAAGAGGCGGAUCGCGUGUGGCGACACAGGGCGCAGCGGACCCCGCUCGAGCACCCGCCCUGGACCUGUGGGCGCGCAGACGGAGAGGCGAGGAGAGGAACUCCGGGUGUGAACUCAGAAACACCCAAAUUGGAGUUUGCGGCGUCUGACCCCAGCCUCACUCUACCUGUGAAAUGAGAACAGUGCUGCUGGGCUCAUGCAGCAUUUCUGAGAACUCCUAUAUUUUCAUGGAGUGUUAAACAACUGAAAACAUUUUAAAGGACCCUCUGUGAAGUGGGCAGCCCGAGUCUGGGCCUGAGUCUUUUCCCAGAUGGAGUAGGAAGCAGAGCCCAAAGAUGCAUCUCUGGCCCGCAAGCCUGUGCCACCUGGUCCUUGUGCACCAGAGGAGGGGCUUCCCCAAGGCUGUGUGGUCCCCUUGGCCUCCACCCUGUCCAGUCUGACCUCUGCAAGUCCAGCAGACCUUCUCAUCGCAUGCUUGGAGCUCAGGCAUGUCCAGGACAACUGAAAGGCAAGUGGGCAAACCCUGGCCAGGGCUGGGGUGCAGCCCAGAGCCAGGGACCUGGCCAGGCCCCUCCCCAUCCCCUGAGGCCCCACUUGUGGCUGGUCCAGCAACCAGCCUCGUGCAUUUCCUACAAGUUGCUGCACUCAAAAUUCCUCAUUUCUAACCCACAGAAAUCUCUUCAGUCAUUUAGGAGAAAUCCACCAACGUUCCUAAUUUAGAAUAACUUUCUGAGGGGUGAAAACAAACAGCAGGGAUUUAAGAUAUACCUGCAGGCUGAACCUAGCUGAGCAAAGCAGCAGAAUGCAGACACCUGGACAGAGUUUCUCCCAGGCCUUGGGGACUGUAGCUCUUUCACGUGGAGGGUGUUUUCAGACUAGCUUGCUCGUGGCUGUGGGUGUAACAUCAAAGCCCUUUUGUAAGAGCGGAUUAACAGCAACACAAUACUAAGGUACAACCCCCCCCCACCAAGUUUUCUUGGGGUUCCUGGGAUCAGCCCCCACCCCGCCUGGCAGUUUCCUGUCACCUGGGUGGCUGUGCAGAAUCCCUGUCUCCAGUCCCACCUGUUACACCAGCUGUGCGAGCUUCAGCAAGAUACUUAGCCGGGCCCAGAGCCUCGCUGUGGCCCCGAGAGCUGGAGGACGAGGGGUCCACGCUCUGUGCACCCUCUGGGUGGCGCCGAGACACUACAGCCCUUGUGAGAGUGUCCACUUCUCCCCAGCGCCGCAGGCUGGAGAGUUCCCAGUCAAGAACAGACUUUUUCUCCCUUAAUUCUCUUCACCUCCACUCCGAACACUGUCCGGCCUCUGAAAGAGAGCACUUGUGCCAGACCACUGCACAGAAGUGAUCUUUCUUAGGUCACAACUAUGAACUCCCAAAUUUCGAUGGAAAAUCAACAAAUUUCAAGAAAAACUAAUGAUUGGUUCAAAGGAAUGUAUUUCUUUCUCUUUGUUUUUUAUUCUACUGCUUCUUCCAAAAUGCCUAGAGGAAGAUGGGAAGGAGUGGGACCCACCCACAACAGUGCAGCCACCAGCCUGGAGAAUCUGCCUAGGUCCUGCGCCCUCGGGGGCUCCUGGCCAGGUGUGAGAGGCGGAGGGGGCUGUGAGACAGCCUGGGAAUCUCAUAUUGAAUUUAAGAAAAACAAAACAAAACAAAACAGACAAUAGUAUUAGUUUGAAAUCCACCCAUUAAAGCAAUCUUAAGCUGAGAGGCUGAGGACACUUGUUUGUUUAGCUUAAGAGACUGCUUUAAUGGGUGGAUUUCAACCCGCUAUUAUGUUGGGUGUCUUAAACAAAAUGCCAAGACCAUAGCAUAGCACAGCGGGCCUGCAGAAGCUCACAGGAGACCCGGAGGCUCCGCACAAGCAGUGCUCUGGUCAGGAAAUAAAACACACGCAGCCCGGCUGCUCUGAGGCUCCCUGUCACUAAACUAAGUUUCCUUGAAGCAGCCACUGAGUAGCAGUCCAUUAAAAAGCAGUUACUACUAAAAAUCUGAGGGAUAGUAAGGCCAGCAGAUCGAGUGGGAAAGAGUAUGUUAACAUUUCUUGGGGGGAACGUGGGGUGUGGGGUCAGCAGGAGGCAGAGGGAGAAGGGCUAACUGUGGGCAGGAGCCUUUGCCACAGAGGAAGGGAUGGUCAGGCAGGGUGAGCAGGUUUAGGUUGCCUGGAGGGAAGAUCCCAACAGGCUCUGGGGUGCAGGGCCUGGCCCGAGCCCUCUGGCACCCGGGCCUGGAGAUAGGGCAGGGGAUGGCGACCAGGAGUGUAAGAGACCUUCAGAGGAGGCCGCUGAGUUGGCUCAGGACUCUGGGUCUGCACACGAAAGACAGGCUCCUGGGUGAGUUCUGUGGUCCCCGCAGGACUUGGCUAACUCUGGGAGACACAGUCCCUCAAGGGUCUGCAAAGCCCCAGCAAUCAAAGAAUCCGGAUAUAGAAAACACAGGGCGUGAUGAAUAUGCAUCCAUCUUUGCCACUCCAGAACCUAAAAUAAUGCUUUGCACAUAGUGGGCACUCAACAAAGAGGAAAAGAUGGAAAGAAAAAAGGAAAGGAAGAAGGAAGAGGGAAGCACCUGUUGGCUAGUUGGGUCGUAAGAGGGCUGCUUUUGAUAGCCUUAUUCCCACAAACUCUGCAGUAAGCUGCCCAGAGC